GACAGAGGAUGCAAGCGUUAUCCGGAAUGAUUGGGCGUAAGCGUCUGUAGGUGGCUUUUAAGUCCGCCGUCAAAUCCCAGGGCUCAACCCUGGACAGGCGGUGGAAACUACCAAGCUGGAGUACGGUAGGGCAGAGGGAAUUUCCGGUGGAGCGGUGAAAUGCGUAGAGAUCGGAAAGAACACCAACGGCGAAAGCACUCUGCUGGCCGACACUGACACUGAGAGACGAAAGCUAGGGAGCGAAUGGG
rnacentral:rRNA from 1 species